CUCGGCUUCGUUUCCUGCACUUUCAGAGUUCCUCAUCGCCUCACCGACAGAGAAGGGAAAUUAGCAUCGGGUGCGAUUGCGAACCUGGUUGAUGAAGUGGGAGGUGCGGUUGUACACGUGGAGGGUCUCCCCAUGAAUGUUUCUGUGGACAUGUCAAUCUCUUACCUUUCUCAACAGUUUAUGAAUUUCUUCUGAUUUACCUUUAUUUCUUCAUCCUUUAUCUCUAUAAUUAUGUUAUCAUCUUUAAUUUGUUACUUUGAGCUAUUUGGAUUUUGGGUAAGUGUUUCACAUUGAUCUGAAGACCCAUUCCUGAUUGAUUUCACACUUGAACUGCAACUUCUGAAUUUUAGUCCCAGGAAUUGCAUCAUUUCACCCGGUGUAUAUAUAGUCUAUAGGCUACAAAUUGGAAAAAUGUAUUUUUACUUUUUUUUAUUAAGGUUUAGAAGCAAUCUAAGUAGAAUUCUCUUCAGUUUUAUAGAAAGAAGAGAAUCGGGGUUUUCUCAAGCCAUAUCAUGUUGUUGUUGGAGAUGCAAUGCCACUGGAAAAUACUAUUAUUAUCUAAUUAAGAUGAAAGAAAGGGAUAAAAUGCAUUCCAUCUUAAGUAAGGCUGAUAAUGUAGUGUUAGAAUCGUUAAAGCUGCAAUCAUCCCUGUUGCGAUAGAAAAAAGAUGAGGGGGAGGGGGGAGAAGAAAAUAAACAGAAACAACAUUGAUCCUGGAACUAGGAAGGGAAAACUCUAUGAUACAAUGUUCUUUCCUAGGCUUCACAAUUUGAACUUAAAGCUGGCAUUUGCUUAUGUGUUUGAAUUCCUCUUUUUCUUGUUUAGCUUUCCACCAUGGUCUGGUUUUGUUUGAUUGAUUACUAAGUGUUGUUUUACCUGUUUAGCUUUCCAUCAUGGGCUGGUUUUGAAAGUAAAUCGUACUUGUUGGAUUACUAAUUUUACGUCUACCUCUUCUUAUGGCUUACUGACAGGACGAAUUGGAGAUCGUUGGACGAUGCUUAGGUAAAAGAGGAGGGUACUCCGGAACGAGUGUGCUGGUGAGGAACAAGUUGACUGGGGAACUUAUUGCUGAGGGCCGGCAUUCGUUGUUUGGUAGACAUCAUGAUCAAGACAUUAGAGAGGUACCAGAAGUGCAACUAUGGAACACCAGAGACAAAUAUAUCUACAAGGGACGCUUUGAGUGAUCUCCAUGGCGUUUCACUUGCUCCUUCAUCUUUACUUGGGAUGGCAACCUUCAUUCCACCAGGUCAAAUUGCUGCAUUGCAUCCAUUUUUAAUGCAUCAAUAGGGAGUAGGUAUGAUUUGAUCAUUAGAACGUUGUGAUCAUUUAGAUUUGGUUCGUGGAAUUGUUUUUUGUAGUAUUAUGACUUGGAUGAUAUACGAUUCGAUUUGAAUUGGUCAUGGAAGUAUUUAGACUUGUUAAUUAAUUUUU